CCUACGGGAGGCAGCAGUAGGGAAUAUUGCUCAAUGGGGGAAACCCUGAAGCAGCAACGCCGCGUGGAGGAUGAAGGUUUUCGGAUUGUAAACUCCUUUUGUUAGAGAAGAUAAUGACGGUAUCUAACGAAUAAGCACCGGCUAACUCCGUGCCAGCAGCCGCGGUAAUACGGAGGGUGCAAGCGUUACUCGGAAUCACUGGGCGUAAAGGGCGCGUAGGCGGGAUAGCAAGUCAGAUGUGAAAUCCUAUGGCUUAACCAUAGAACUGCAUUUGAAACUGUUAUUCUAGAGUAUGGGAGAGGUAGGUGGAAUUCUUGGUGUAGGGGUAAAAUCCGUAGAGAUCAAGAGGAAUACUCAUUGCGAUGGCGACCUGCUAGAACAUAACUGACGCUGAUGCGCGAAAGCGUGGGGAGCAAACAGGAUUAGAUACCCGGGUAGUC
rnacentral:rRNA from 1 species